GGUUAUUUAGCUUUUUUAAUGACAUUUUCUGUAAGUAGAAGAGAUAUUAAAAAUAACCGCUGUUAUACUUCUGUUAAAUUAUAUAUUUUAUAAUAUGAAUUAUAUUUCUUAAUGGUAUAACAACAGAAAUUAAGAUACUUUUAAAUAAGUUAUUACACUUAAUAUUUUUAUUUAACAUUAGAAUAUUGUGUUUUAUACAAUUGUUUUUAAUAAGGCGUUCCACAUACACAAUUUCGCCAAAUCCUGAGUUUAAUUUUUGAUAUAAGCACUCUGUUGUUUUUUGUUUGUUUGUUUUUUUUUGUUGGACUUUUCUACAUAUGCACAACGAAGUAAUUUAUUUAUUUAUUUAUUUAUUUAUUUAAAUAUUUGCUUUUUUUUCCCCUCUGUUGCAUGUAUCCAAUCAAAACAGACCUGCAAUCCAUUUCUGAGAACCGAGGCUUUAAGCAGUCGAGGUUGUGUGGAGGGUAAAGCCAAGGUUUUCUUUCCGCUUUUAUUGGAUGGCAGAUCCAAUUAA
ensembl:lncRNA